GGGGAAAUUUGGCCAGGACACCGGGGUAACACCCCUACACCCUAACAUAUAUGACCACAGAGAGUCAGGACCUUUUUUUACUCACAGCUGCUGGGCUUCAGUGGGGUGUCAGGGGUGAGCCGCCGGGUUGCGCCCGUGGCACGCCGGGGUGGGCUCUGGUCGUGCCGCGACCCUGAACUGGAUUGAAACGGUGAGGAAAGGGAUGAACUUCUAGUCCCUUUGCAGAAUGUACCCAGGUUCCUUUGCCCCAAACAGCGUGACAAUAAUGACAGCGCUUAGAGCCCAUUUGAAAAAUGCUAGGUGACGGAAACGACGGAGUAUGAUCCUUUCGUUGGUGGAAGCGAUAGUUUUUGAGCAGCUUGCGGGCGGUAUAAACUUCUACAAUAAGACCACAACACCGCCCCGUCACAGGAAUAGCGGAAGCAUAUCCCAUGCUCUCAACACUAGGUGGCAGUGUAGGACUACGGUCAGCUGUCACAGCUUCUGUACUGUUUUUGCGAGGUUUUGUUUUUAAGAAUAUGAGCUUUGUUUUAGACGCUGCAGACCUUCGGUGCUUGCAAUGGACGGACUGACAAGCCGUGUUACAGAACUCUUUUUCAGUGUUUUCAGCCGGCCGGCCGGGCGUGAGUCACAGAGGGACGGAGCCGCCCGUGGGGCGGGAGGUGACAGGAGUCAGUCCACAGCUGAGACGUGCCCCCGCGGUGCUGCCCGUUCGCCAAUUAGAGCCCAGCCAGCCCUGAUCAGCCGGCCUCACGCCUGGCUCGCUGCACCAAGGCGGCCGAGCCUAACGAGUCGCAAUCACACCAGUCCCACUCAGCACCUGUUCGCCAGAAGAAGCGCCACUCGCUCCAGGCCCGCUGAGAAAUAUUAAAAUAACAAUGCGAGAAAGAAAAAGACAAAAAAAUAACACGGGAAGGCUUCCUGUCGUCCGUACUGGAACAGCUUCGAAGCAGGUCUGCGUGUAUUUCU
rnacentral:lncRNA from 1 species